rnacentral:rRNA from 1 species
CCCUUAGAUGUUCUGGGCCGCACGCGUGCUACACUGAGUGGAUCAACGGGUCAGGUUGCGCGAAAGUGUUUCCUAAUCUUGAAAUCCGCUCGUGAUGGGGAUUGACGGUUGCAAUUUUCCGUCAUGAACGAGGAAUACCUUGUAAGCGCGGGUCAUCAUCCCGCGCUGAAUACGUCCCUGCCCUUUGUACACACCGCCCGUCGCUCCUACCGAUUGAGUGGUCCGGUGAGGCUUUGGGAUCUGAGCGGAAAGAGCGUUUCGCUGUUUCUGCUCGGAAAACUCAGUCGAACCUUAUCAUUUAGAGGAAGGAGAAGUCGUAACA